rnacentral:lncRNA from 1 species
AGAAACUCCAACCUCAGUUUUUCCCCGUAGCGUCGGUGAUGGCGGCAAACAGACCAUCUGAAUCGGGAAUAAAACGCUGCCUCAUUAGGUGCCUUUGCGCUUUCAUUCCUGAACCUGGGACUCGCAUCCGGGCUCGUCCGGCGAACGCUUGCUCUCCUGUCUGAAGGCGCCGACACCAAAGCCCAGCGCUGCGCCUCUUCGCCGCCGCUCCGYGGGAUGGGUCUGCGCAGGUUGCACCGCUAAUCCCACCCAAGACGCCGUGCUGGGGAUCCCACCACCCUCGCCCAUCCCCGAGGAGCAGAAAGCGCCUCUUUGCCCACGUGGAACGGCGCUGCGUCACCCUCUGUCUCUUGUGGGCGCUGCGAAAAUACCGUCGACCAGCUUGUGCCGGCAUCGGCUCCAGGGUCACCUGCAAGAGGAGGAGCUUGUGACUGAUACCCGGAAGUUUUGCUUUUCUGGCAGAGGGAAGGUGUUUGCAGGACAGCCGGCUCCCCGAGCACCCUCGAAAAAGU